AGGAUGAGCCAGCAGAGGAGACUGAAGAAGAGAAGCCAGAGAAGUGAGAGAAAGACCCACAGAUUACAGUGUCAGUGGAACCAAGAAAGCAGGUGGUAUGUGCUAUUGGGUACUUGAGAUACCCUAACGGACAGUUCAGCAGUGGCCAGCAGAGGACCCCAUGCUUUCAGCAUGCUGCAAUGGAUUGCAAGGUGCUGUCUCUGUCACUCUCUCCUGGAGUAUCCAUACUGGGGGAAACCAGCUGCCAUAUCAUGAGACAGCCUUGUGGAGAGGCCCAUGUGCCAAAGAACUGAAACCUGCC